rnacentral:rRNA from 1 species
AGAGUUUGAUCCUGGCUCAGAUUGAACGCUGGCGGCAUGCCUUACACAUGCAAGUCGAACGGCAGCACGGGAGCAAUCCUGGUGGCGAGUGGCGAACGGGUGAGUGAUACAUCGGAACGUGCCCAGUUGUGGGGGAUAGCCCGGCGAAAGCCGGAUUAAUACCGCAUAAGACCUGAGGGUGAAAGCGGGGGACCGCAAGGCCUCGCGCGAUUGGAGCGGCCGAUGUCAGAUUAGGUAGUUGGUGGGGUAAAGGCCUACCAAGCCGACGAUCUGUAGCUGGUCUGAGAGGACGACCAGCCACACUGGGACUGAGACACGGCCCAGACUCCUACGGGAGGCAGCAGUGGGGAAUUUUGGACAAUGGGCGCAAGCCUGAUCCAGCCAUGCCGCGUGUGGGAAGAAGGCCUUCGGGUUGUAAACCACUUUUGUCAGGGAAGAAACGGCCUGAUCUAAUACAUUGGGUUAAUGACGGUACCUGAAGAAUAAGCACCGGCUAACUACGUGCCAGCAGCCGCGGUAAUACGUAGGGUGCGAGCGUUAAUCGGAAUUACUGGGCGUAAAGCGUGCGCAGGCGGCUUUGCAAGACAGAUGUGAAAUCCCCGGGCUCAACCUGGGAACUGCAUUUGUGACUGCAAGGCUAGAGUACGGUAGAGGGGGAUGGAAUUCCGCGUGUAGCAGUGAAAUGCGUAGAUAUGCGGAGGAACACCGAUGGCGAAGGCAAUCCCCUGGACCUGUACUGACGCUCAUGCACGAAAGCGUGGGGAGCAAACAGGAUUAGAUACCCUGGUAGUCCACGCCCUAAACGAUGUCAACUGGUUGUUGGACGGCUUGCUGUUCAGUAACGAAGCUAACGCGUGAAGUUGACCGCCUGGGGAGUACGGCCGCAAGGUUGAAACUCAAAGGAAUUGACGGGGACCCGCGCAAGCGGUGGAUGAUGUGGUUUAAUUCGAUGCAACGCGAAAAACCUUACCUACCCUUGACAUGUCAGGAAGUGACCAGAGAUGGUUUCGUGCUCGAAAGAGAACCUGAACACAGGUGCUGCAUGGCCGUCGUCAGCUCGUGUCGUGAGAUGUUGGGUUAAGUCCCGCAACGAGCGCAACCCUUAUCAUUAGUUGCUACUGCAAAGGGCACUCUAAUGAGACUGCCGGUGACAAACCGGAGGAAGGUGGGGAUGACGUCAGGUCAUCAUGGCCCUUAUGGGUAGGGCUACACACGUCAUACAAUGGCCGGUACAGAGGGCUGCCAACCCGCGAGGGGGAGCUAAUCUCAGAAAACCGGUCGUAGUCCGGAUCGCAGUCUGCAACUCGACUGCGUGAAGUCGGAAUCACUAGUAAUCGCGGAUCAGCUUGCCGCGGUGAAUACGUUCCCGGGUCUUGUACACACCGCCCGUCACACCAUGGGAGCGGGUUCUGCCAGAAGUAGUUAGCCUAACCCU